UGUGGGAGCUGGCUUGCCUGCGAUAGCGGUGUAUCAGCUGACAUUUCAGGCACUGACCCUCCGCCAUCGCAGGCAAGCCAGCUCCCGCA
rnacentral:misc_RNA from 1 species